rnacentral:lncRNA from 1 species
GCACUGGAACAACACAGAUGAGAUAUUCUACACAUUAAUCUACUUAUCUGGAAUCACUUUGCCUCUAAAGGCCAGAGAAAAAUCACAGCUUCCUUGUCGGAGGGGAAAAGGACAGGUGAUCUGGGGAAAACGCAGCUACACCUGGAGCAAGGUCUCUUCCCGGCUUGGCAAUCUCAGCUGUGCCGGCGCUACGGGACCCGAGCCGUCCCAGAAACCAAAGGGCAGGCACGGCAGCAAACGCCUGAGGACUGAGAAGACGUCAAGGUCCAGACACUCGUCAUUAACACCUACUCACAACCGAUUCCCCCACCCACUUUGGCCUCACCAAGAUUUGGCAAGCAGGAGAAUUAAAUGUCACUUUGC